rnacentral:rRNA from 1 species
AUCAUAUUGACACUGAGGUUCGAAAGCGUGGGUAGCAAACAGGAUUAGAUACCCUGGUAGUCCACGCCGUAAACGAUGUCUACUAGUCGUUGGGUCCCUUGAGGACUUAGUGACGCAGCUAACGCAAUAAGUAGACCGCCUGGGGAGUACGGCCGCAAGGUUAAAACUCAAAUGAAUUGACGGGGGCCCGCACAAGCGGUGGAGCAUGUGGUUUAAUUCGAUGCAACGCGAAGAACCUUACCUGGUCUUGACAUAUCUAGAAUCCUGCAGAGAUGCGGGAGUGCCUUCGGGAAUUAGAAUACAGGUGCUGCAUGGCUGUCGUCAGCUCGUGUCGUGAGAUGUUGGGUUAAGUCCCGCAAUGAGCGCAACCCUUGUCCUUAGUUACCAGCGGGUUAAGCCGGGAACUCUAAGGAUACUGCCAGUGACAAACUGGAGGAAGGCGGGGACGACGUCAAGUCAUCAUGGCCCUUACGACCAGGGCUACACACGUGCUACAAUGGUAGGUACAGAGGGCAGCUACACAGCGAUGUGAUGCGAAUCUCAAAAAGCCUAUCGUAGUCCAGAUUGGAGUCUGCAACUCGACUCCAUGAAGUAGGAAUCGCUAGUAAUCGCGGAUCAGAAUGCCGCGGUGAAUACGUUCCCGGGCCUUGUACACACCGCCCGUCACACCAUGGGAGUUGAUUGCACCAGAAGUGGAUAGCCUAACCUUCGGGAAGGCGUUCACCACGGUGUGGUUGAUGACUGGGGUGAAGUCGUAACAAGGUAACCGUA